CCUGAACGCUGGCGGCGUGGCUAAGACAUGCAAGUCGAACGGAUGUAGCAAUACAUCAGUGGCGGACGGGUGAGUAAUGUAUCGCUAAUGUACCCUUGAGCCAGGGAUAGCUGCCCGAAAGGGCAGGUAAUACCUGAUAAAGUGACCUUGUCGCAUGACAGGGGUUCCCAAAGCCGUAAGGCACUCUUGGAGCAGGCGAUAUCGUAUCAGCUAGUUGGUGAGGUAACGGCUCACCAAGGCGAUGACGCGUAGCUGGUCUGAGAGGACGACCAGCCACAUCGGGACUGAGACACUGCCCGGACUCCUACGGGAGGCUG
rnacentral:rRNA from 1 species